UUUGCCCUACAGGGGGCAGCAGUGGGGAAUAUUGGGCAAUGGGCGCAAGCCUGACCCAGCAACGCCGCGUGAAGGAAGAAGGCUUUCGGGUUGUAAACUUCUUUUGUCAGGGACGAAGCAAGUGACGGUACCUGACGAAUAAGCCACGGCUAACUACGUGCCAGCAGCCGCGGUAAUACGUAGGUGGCAAGCGUUAUCCGGAUUUAUUGGGUGUAAAGGGCGUGUAGGCGGGAAUGCAAGUCAGAUGUGAAAACUAUGGGCUCAACCCCCGAACUGCAUUUGAAACUGUUGGUCUUG
rnacentral:rRNA from 1 species